CCGUAACACGGCCCGUACCUAUCCGCCCCUUCCCAUCCCGAAACGCCGCCGCCUCCCCCUCCUCAUCGCUCCGCCUCCUAUUGCUGCCGGCCGCCGCUGCAUCCUUCUCCUGAUCUCCUUCCCAUGCCAGGCACCACGGCAACCUUCUCCUCCCCAUCACCGCCUCCUAUCCAUCCCCUUCAGACGUCACCGCUGCACCAUCCAAGCCACGCCACCAGUCCCUCAUCGGACGAGCUCAAGGGUGCCAGAUCCGGGCAGAACGAGCGCCGACGCUGCCUCCUGCCCAUCCCUAUUCUGGGCUCCCCUCGGACGACAUGCACGGGCUGAGCGGCGACGCUGUCGAUGACACGACGACGACGACAUCCUCCUCAGCGAGAUGCUCCAGUCGACCACCCCCGACGGUCUCUGGUUAAUCCACAGCUGCUGCAGCUUUUCCCCCUUUAUUCCUGCUCAUCUUUAGGCCUCCUUCUCCCUGACCUCGCUGUGGAGGAACGAGCUAGACGGCGGCAGCCUUUCAUCCACCGUCAUCCUCAAUUUUGUUUAUUCUCUGGCAAAGAGGCAAUAAAGCUCACCGGAGAUGCACACAAGUUACCAAUGCCGGUGCUCGUUUCUUUAGGUGCAGAACUGGGACUUUAACCACUGUACAAUUCAGUGAGAGAGCAAUGCUCAUGCCAAACAAGGCUGUAGUAAAUGAGAUAUCACAAGACGGUGGAUUCAAUGAUAAGUUAUAUUAUUAUCCUCACUGAAAAUAUUGUCUUACUUUCUAUUCAUUACAAAUAGUUAAAUCUCCUUAUUUCAUCAUUGAUGCUAAUCACAAAGUAUUGAUCAUGUAAUAUCUUUGUAAGGAAAACAUAUUUGAUAUGAACCUCAUAUUGUUUUUAUAAGGAGAAACAAAGUUGAUCUCUCA